GGCCCGAAAAGCCUAAUUGGAGCCCACUAAGGGUCAGGAAAAAUCCCGAGGCACUUCCAAUAAUUAGUAGACCACGUCUACUUGCUAAUUGCACAAUCAAUUUAUCUAAAUCGCAUCACAAUUGACUAAUAAUUGCUAAUUUAUUCUAAUCUAACAACCUAAACAUAAUUAAUUAAAACUAAACCAACCUUAAGCAUAAUUAGCCAACUAAUCCGAGAUUAGUGAGAUUACUCACCAAAUCGCGUGCAAAUCAGAUCAAUCCAACGAGGGCGACGCGAGGAACAAAACUUCCCAAAGCACGGCUCGGGUUCGGGGCCCGGAAACGGCCCAAAACAAGCCUGAAAGGGGCUGGAAACCCACUCGUGGGUUUUCUGCCCUUGGCUGGCCGGAGCAGAUCCGGCGGCCAAAACAGCGAGGGGAGGUCGGUGGAGAGCAAGGGGGACGCCGGGGAGGUCCGGCGAAGUUGGGCGGUGGCCGGAG
rnacentral:lncRNA from 1 species